GGCGCACGGGUGCGUAACGCGUGGGAAUCUGCCCUCAGGUUCGGAAUAACAGUUGGAAACGACUGCUAAUACCGGAUGAUAUCGCGAGAUCAAAGAUUUAUCGCCUGAGGAUGAGCCCGCGUAGGAUUAGCUGGUUGGUGGGGUAAAGGCCUACCAAGGCGACGAUCCUUAGCUGGUCUGAGAGGAUGAUCAGCCACACUGGGACUGAGACACGGCCCAG
rnacentral:rRNA from 1 species